rnacentral:rRNA from 1 species
UACGGAGGGGGCUAGCGUUGUUCGGAAUUACUGGGCGUAAAGCGCACGUAGGCGGCUAUUCAAGUCAGAGGUGAAAGCCCGGGGCUCAACCCCGGAACUGCCUUUGAAACUAGAUAGCUUGAAUCACGGAGAGGUGGGUGGAAUUCCGAGUGUAGAGGUGAAAUUCGUAGAUAUUCGGAAGAACACCAGUGGCGAAGGCGGCCCACUGGACGUGUAGUUGACGCUGAGGUGCGAAAGCGUGGGGAGCAAACAGG